rnacentral:misc_RNA from 1 species
GAAAUGCGAUACGCAAUGCGAAUUGCAGAAUUCCGCGAAUCAUCAGAUUCUUGAACGCAACUGGCGCUGGAGGGAUAUCCUUCCAGCAUGUCUGUUUCAGUGUCUGAAAACAUCCUAAAUCAUUCUAAUGUGUUUGACAAGGAAUAAAUCAUAUAUAUCAAUUGAUAUUAUAUUUGUCUUCUGAGUCUUACAUGAAAGAUGUAUGUGUGGGUCUUUGGAUCCAUCGAAUUGGUCAUCGAUUUCUUCGGUGAUUUCGAUUGGAUAUUCACCAAUUACUCGUAUACACAUAGAAUUUACAUAUAUAUAUUUAUUUAUAGAUAUAUAUAUAAACUUCUUUAUCAUCUGCAUCUGAAAUCAGGCAAGAAAACCCGCUGAACUUAAGC